CGAGGACUGAGCGUGUAACAAUAAUUCACUUAUUGAGAUCCGAGGACUGAGCGUGUAACAAUAAAUCACCUAUUGAGCUCCGAUGACUGACCGUGUAACAAUAAUUCACUUAUUGAGCUCCGACGACUGAGCGUGUAACGAUAAAUCACUUAUUGAGAUCCGACGACUGAGCGUGUAACGAUAAAUCACUUAUUGAGAUCCGAGGACUGAGCGUGUAACGAUAAAUCACUGAUUGAGAUCCGAGGACUGAGCGUGUAACGAUAAAUCACUUAUUGAGAUCCGACGACUGAGCGUGUAACGAUAAAUCACUUAUUGAGAUCCGACGACUGAGCAUCUAACAAUU